rnacentral:rRNA from 1 species
UACAGAGGGGGCAAGCGUUAUUCGGAAUUAUUGGGCGUAAAGGGCGCGUAGGCGGUGCGGUAAGUCACCUGUGAAAUCUCCUGGCUCAACUGAGAGCUUGCAGGCGAAACUGCCGUGCUGGAGUGUGGGAGAGGUGAGUGGAAUUCCCGGUGUAGCGGUGAAAUGCGUAGAUAUUGGGAGGAACACCAGUGGCGAAGGCGGCUCACUGGACCGGAACUGACGCUGAGGCGCGAAAGCGUGGGGAGCAAACGGG